ensembl:lncRNA
CAAACUAUCUGUUUGAAACGAUCUGUUUUGUGGGAACAAAACCAUGAGCCAGAUUCCUGGCCCUGGAGCAGAGAAGCUGUGAGGUCAGCCGUCUGAAGCUUUCCCUCUGAGAGAGGACCUCAGCACACACAGCCCCUAGGAGAAGACGGAGGAUGGAGCAGGACUCGGGGCUGCACUGGGGGAGGAUGAGGCAAAGGUUGGCAGGCUGAGGACACACUUCCUAUCUCAAUCCAGGUGGUAAGAACGGAGGUGGAACCAACCCUGGGCCAGCUUCCAGACUUCCCCCAGCUCUGCAAACAGUCACCAGAGGCUUCCGGAAUUUCUGUAUGCCACGGUCUCCGUGUUUACUGUUUCCUGCCUCUGCCUCGAGCACCCAGUCCUGCUGCGGCUGCUGCGUGGGACUUGGAAGAGAGGAUGGUGAUGCCUGUUUUCUUUCAAGGUUCAUCAAAGCCCACUCUCUCAGACUCGCCUAAAAAACUGACCAAAUCCCGAAAGGUUUACUUCAUGGCCCAGAACAACCUCUGAUGUCACAAGCACGGUAUUGGAGAGAGCCGAGCCAGCAUGCAGGCCAUAUUGAGUUUACCACCAAUCAGAGAUUCACACUUUCUGGUGGGAACAUCACGGGGGCCAGGAAGCUGCUGCGGGAGCUUUCCAAGACCUCCCCUCCACACCUCCACCUUGCUUAGAAGCGCUCUCAGCCUCACAGCUGCCGCGGCCCACCUAGCACAGCUGCUCUCUCCCCACUUCGCUGUGCUUUUGUCAUCCCUACCUGGGGCUUCCCUAUCCAGGGAGGCUGUGACAGAGCGAAAACGUGAUCAGCUCCCAAAACAGGCAGUUCGGAGAAGGCACCCGCUCAGUGUUUGCUCCCGUUGUGCAAAGGAUGAAGAACAGCUAAGGCACAAUGAGUGUGUCAGGAUACCACAACCCAUUCUGGGAUUUUGUAAAGAACCCCAAGGGAGACUCUUACCCUGUCACCUCGAGCGGCACCUCUGAACGCUGGGGCACCCGCAGUGUCCUGCUCUGCCGCCCGAUGCUUCGCCACGCCACUGAGCUCGGCAGAUGCAACGUGCUCUGCAGUCUUGGACCCCUGGCUUCCUUUCUGGCCGGGCUGACUCUACUGUGGGCAUGCAGCCUUCACAGCAAGACUCCGGCCCUGGCUGGCUCCUGCCUCAAAGUCACCCAGGCACCUGGGGCUGCCCCAACAGGAACCCCAUCUAAGGGCCUUUCUCACCCUUUCUUUCCCCACACCCGUUCUCAGGCUAACCACUGCUGCACACCAGCAAUUUCUGCGGCAUCCUCUCUCACCACUGGGCCACUCAUUCCUCCCAGGCAGAUGCUGAAGAGACAUUUGGCUCUGCAGCAGAAUGGCGCACUCCUAUAUUUAGCCACAUUGUGUAAUAUGUGACAAUAAUACUUUGUACUCAGGGUACACCUUUUAUCAGAGGAACUCCAUGCAGUCUGCAAACAUCCCCAGCACAAUACCCCUGGAGUGGAAGGAACCUGCCAAGUGUUGUGAUCUCAGUCUUACGGCUGGAGAGACUGGGUCCCAGGAAGGUGGGGCACGGCCAAGGCUUCCUAAGGAGUCAAGAGCCAGAAAAGGACCAUGGGCUGCUCCCCUAAGCCAGAUACGAGCAACUUCCCCAACCACGAGAACAGGGUGGAAGUGAUGGGGUGUGAUUCCACGGCCAGGGCAUACAAGGCAACGCAGCUUCCACCUCAUGCCUGCGAUUGCUCCCUCUGGGGGAAGCCAGCCUCCAUGCCCAGAGGACACUCAGCAGCCCUGCAGAGAAGGCCACGUGGGCAGGAGCUGAGGUCCCCGCCCCCAGCUACCAGCAGCUUCCCCGGGUGUGUGGGCGAGCCAUCUGAGGGGCGCUCUAUGGAUGCUCUAUGGAUGGAGAGCCCUGUCUGGUCUCCAGGUGACGGCAGCCCGCCCCAGCCAACUUCCGACUGCAACCAUUCGAGAGACCCCAGCCACUACUGUGCUGACCAGUUCUGCAUGGAACCUGACCAACUUCUCAGCAGCUUAAGCAUGCCUCCCACCCUAGCCAUGCAGGAGCAGUUUCCCAGUGCCUCACCCCCAGCCCGGGGCUUCUCUAUCAGGCUCUGCCCUGAGACACCAAGGGACCACACAGUGUCUACACAUGUGCAACCAGAAGUCAGGGGGAGUUACUGCCUGCAGGACAAACCUUUGACUGAUGGAAGACGGGAGCAAAUGGAUAGACUCUCCCUCCUCCUGCCCAUAGAAGAGCUUCCUGAGAUGCAAUCAUGCUGAUGGACAACAAGCAGGGGCCAGCUCCACUCUGUUAGGCACCUCUUCUCAGCUCUUCCUCUUCCCAGCCUCUCUCCCCGGUUCCCUCACUCUUCUCUCUUAACAGAGUAGCAGCUCACCGCGCCUCUGCCUCAGGCUCUGCUUUCUAGGGACGCCUGGCUGAGACAAAGCCAGCAUGCCCGAGGGUCUCUCCCUCCACCCACACACCCUCCCUUCUCUUCCCCAUUUCCUGGGGGCCAGCUGGGCCUGAGUGCAUCUGUCUUAGGAAGAUGUA